rnacentral:rRNA from 1 species
GACGAACGCUGGCGGCGUGCUUAACACAUGCAAGUCGAACGGAAAGGCCCUGCUUUUGUGGGGUUCUCGAGUGGCGAACGGGUGAGUAACACGUGUGUAACCUGCCCUUGACUUUGGGAUAACUUCAGGAAACUGGGGCUAAUACCGGAUAGGAGCUCCUGCUGCAUGGUGGGGGUUGGAAAGUUUCGGCGGUUGUGGAUGGACUCGCGGCUUAUCAGCUUGCUGGUGGGGUAGUGGCUUACCCAGGCUUUGACGGGUACCCGGCCUGAGAGGGUGACCGGGCACAAUGGUACUGAGAGAGGGAGCAGACGGGAACAUGAGGCAGUAGGGGGAAACAUUGUACAAUGGGCCGGAGUGUGAGACGAAGGCGUCGGGGUCGUGAAGACGGUCUGUUGGGUAAGAACCGCUGUCGGUUGAGACCAAGCGGUAGUGACGGUAAUGGAAAAAGAAGCACCGGCUAACUACGUG